ensembl:lncRNA
AUUAUCUUCUUUGAAAUGUUUGCUAUGCCCGUUAUCACCUUUCUCAACACCUGAAUCUCCUCUGGCACAACUUGAGGCUAUUCAUUCUAGUCUUAUUGCUAGUUACAUGGGAGAAGAGGCUGAUUCUCCAUCUCCACGCUACCACCUUAGAGGUAGUUGCAGAGAGCUACAAGAUCUCCUGUGAUCCUCCUUGCCUCUAUAGUAAACAGUUGCAGUUCCUGCAGCCACUCCUGAAUCUUCUUUCCCCGCAGUGGCGCAUUCUGCCUGAGGGUCACGUGUUUUUGAGGUGCUGUCCUGGGAGAUAUGGCAUGGAGAACUGUAUCCUUCCCCUCAUUUCUGAGUGUGAUUUAGGACGUGGGCUCUUUGCUGGAGGGUUUAGCAAUGACAUCACCACUGUUCUGAAAAUAACAAAUCAUUACUGAUACAUUUUGCUGAGAGUCCCAUCCUAUAAAACAUACAAGGCAAACUUUGAUAACAUCGUAGAGUAUUCUUUCAGGGAUUUUUUGGAAGAAUCCAUGCUUUGUGACUCUGGAACAUGCUGAAUAUAAGUGCUGAGUAGCAGAUCAAUUUUUUCACAGACAGAGUUAAGUAAAAAAAUUUAAGAUUGAAAGCUCUGCAGAAGACAAAUGAAAUAAGCUGCACCAUAAGACGGUAUUUGGAUGGAUUUUCAUACUCACAAGUUUGGACUUCGACUGUUGGAAAACUUCAGCCAAGUCCUUAUACGGAUGUUUUCCUUUUUGUUGAAUUCCAGUGCCAAAUAAAGAUUCUUCAGGUAUCUGUUGGGAUCAGUCUAAUUCCUGCUGAAUACAUGUCAUGUUCUUGAAAUCAACCAGCAGCAAAUGUUUCUCAAACUAGAGCAUAAUGUCAGUGAAUUUUUUCUAUCCCUCUCCAGUGCUUUAUUUGUUAUGUAUUAGGAGACAAAUUCCUUCUCCAUGGAAAUUGAU